UCCUGGUUUCCCAGGCAGUCCCAUCAGAGUGCUUUGCCUUACGGCAAGUGGCAACUGACAGUAGGGGUUGCGCUCGUUAGAGGACUUAACCCAACAUCUCACGACACGAGCUGACGACAGCCAUGCAGCACCUGUGUAACUGUCUGAACCGAAGCUCAGAAAACCAUAUCUCUAUGGCGGUCAGAAACAUGUCAAACCCAGGUAAGGUUCCUCGCGUAGUGUCGAAUUAAACCACAUGUUCCACCGCUUGUGCGGACCCCCGUCAAUUCAUUUGAGUUUCAACCUUGCGGCCGUACUUCCCAGGCGGAUCACUUAACGCGUUAGCUUCGACACUGAACCAGCAAAGCCGGUCCAACGUCUAGUGAUCAUCGUUUACAGCGUGGACUAC
rnacentral:misc_RNA from 1 species